GAUUAACGCUGGCGGCGUGCAUAACACAUGCAAGUCGAACGAUGAAACUUAGUAGACUUCUUCGGAAAGACACUAAGCGGAUUAGUGGCGAACGGGUGAGUAACGCGUGAGUAACCUGCCUUACACAAGGGGAUAGCCUUUGGGAACGAAGAAUAAUACCCUAUAAAACCAUAAAAGCACAUGCUAGAAUGGUCAAAGUGAUAGCGGUGUAAGAUGGACUUGCGUCUGAUUAGCUAGUUGGUGAGAUAAAAGCUCACCAAGGCAACGAUCAGUAGCCGGCUUGAGAGAGUGUACGGCCACAUUGGGACUGAGACACGGCCCAGACUCCUACGGGAGGCAGCAGUGGGGAAUUUUGCACAAUGGGGGAAACCCUGAUGCAGCGACGCCGCGUGAUUUAGAAGGCCUUCGGGUUGUAAAAAUCUUUUGUAUAGGAAGAAAAUGACAGUACUAUACGAAUAAGGUCCGGCUAAUUACGUG
rnacentral:rRNA from 1 species